GCGAUCUGCGCCGGCGGUUGCAGCAAUCGUGGCAGAUGUGUGGCACCGAACCAAUGCUCGUGCGCCGACGGAUUCAACGGAACUCGCUGUGAGCAGUGCCUACCACGCGCGGGAUGUGUCAACGGAGACUGUGUUAACGAGACGCCGAACACGUGCAAGUGUAGAGACGGUUUUAUUGGUGAUCGGUGUGAUAUUGACAUCAAAAUCUGCUCUCUCGAAAAACCGUGUGCAAACGGUGGAAUCUGUUCAAUUGACUCGUCAUCGUCGACCGGCUACAAAUGUCAUUGCCCAUUCGAAUUCGUCGGCUCUCAAUGCAAAACACCGCUGAGCAAAGUUCGGUGCUCCGCGGAGCACGUUUGUAAGAAUGGAGGCGCUUGCAUCUCAAUGGACGACACAAAUAUUCAGUGCAAGUGCCGUCGCGGAUUUUCGGGAAAAUUCUGUGAAAUUGGAAAUCACGGGGAUUGCUCGGCGAUGCGGUGCUCCGCCGGAGAGACGUGCCAAAUUAGUGGAGAUUUUGCGAUUUGUGUGGAAAAUGAUGAGCUACUACUGACAACUAAUAAGCCUGCUGAAACGACGAAAAGCGUUGAAAAAUGGAGAGAACCCCGAAAAACGGCGAACGACGAGCAAGCCUCGGAUGAGCUUCAACUUCGGCUGAUCGCCGCAAUUUGUGUGCUCUUUUCAGUUUGUGUGAUCGGUCUCGCCUUGGUCAGCUUUUUCUUCUACAUGCACUCAUUCUCCAAGUGGAAACAUCCAUCGUCACAGCAGGCAGGAGGAAGCACAAUUCUUCCAACAACAACAUCAAUUCCAAUGUCUACAACGUCUUCGGGAACUGGAUCUCCUGUUUAUAAAGUGUGCAUAAUCGAUUCGGAGCACCGCGGAAACGCGCCAGGAAGCUCAUCAGAUUCCGAACCCGAUCACCACUGUCCGCCGCCGCACCGACAUUCUCCACCGCCUGCCUACUCGAGUCUCGUCCUGUACAAAAAAGUUCCGAUGGCAGCAGAUGACGAGUCGUCGUUUCGAGUCUAA
rnacentral:misc_RNA from 1 species